GACAAAAUCCAGCAUGUGCCAUCACAACUGACAGAGGAAACCUUGGAAAUAUCUUGAAGUUAGUUAGGGAAAUCAAACUCUUUUUCGCUUAGAAUGCAGGAGUGGCAGCAUCAAAAUUAUGCUGAGGAAUUGUCUGGGAGUGCUGAGAACAUCAUGCCAGGGACUGUUCCAUGGAUAUGGAAGCACAGACAGUUGUAUUCCAGUGCUGAGAUCGCUCCUGGGCUCUGCUCAGUUCACCAGAGUUCUCUUGACCAACUUGGAGAGAGCAGCAUUAGACAGAUUUGAAUUAGGUGUGACAAAUUCCCCAGUUGGUGAGUUGUUUUCCCAUCUGCUAAAUGAGAAAAACAUUUUCCUGACAGAUACUGACAGGAUAAAUCUGAUCAACAUUUUUCAUAAUACUUGGAUAUUACUGAUAGUAAUGCCUUCCAUAUGUGUGAGAAAGAGAGAAAUGUGGAAUGAACCAGUUGCUGAUAAGCUAAUGACACAAAAUCAAGUGUACAGGAGACAGAGAAGAUCAAUAUUUGGACAAAUACAUGCAAACUCAGCUUGGUGCUUGGAGACCAAGAAAGAUACUACAGAUUUUGUGUACUGUGGAUUAACCCUGAUUGGACCACAAGGCAGCAUACAAACAGAGAGAAAGAAAAAAAAAAAAAAAAAGUAAUUGCACCAGUGGACUGGUGAUCAUUGUGCUGCUUCAACUUAAAAAAAAAAAAAAAAAAAAAAAAAGAAGACAGCUGUAGCCACCUGAUGGAGCAGUCCCAGAAGUGCUCUGAAAUCAGAUGUUGCCCCUUGUGUCCUUAUAAUCACUCCACAAAGGUUGCAUUGAGCCAGAGUAUGAAAUGAUAGAAAAAUCCCACCUCGUUCUGGGGUGAGACUGUCUCAAAAGUCUGUUUGCAAGAACAAUGCUGCUUUUCAAGGAGGCAACUUUUCUGCUUGAUACCUUCACUGCAUGGAUACCUUCACUGCACUGGACAGCCUGAGUUUGCAGGCAGUUUGCACAGUAAAUAAAGCUGGCAAGAAAGGUGGGGAAGGACUGCUG
rnacentral:lncRNA from 1 species